GACGAACGCUGGCGGCGUGCUUAACACAUGCAAGUCGAACGGAAAGGCCCUGCUUUUGUGGGGUGCUCGAGUGGCGAACGGGUGAGUAACACGUGAGUAACCUGCCCUUGACUUUGGGAUAACUUCAGGAAACUGGGGCUAAUACCGGAUAGGAGCUCCUGCUGCAUGGUGGGGGUUGGAAAGUUUCGGCGGUUGGGGAUGGACUCGCGGCUUAUCAGCUUGUUGGUGGGGUAGUGGCUUACCAAGGCUUUGACGGGUAGCCGGCCUGGGAGGGUGACCGGCCACAUUGGGCCUGCGAUACGCCCCAGACUCCUACGGGAGGCAGCAGUGGGGAAUAUUGCACAAUGGGCGGAAGCCUGAUGCAGCAACGCCGCGUGCGGGAUGACGGCCUUCGGGUUGUAAACCGCUUCCGCCUGUGACGAAGCGUGAGUGACGGUAAUGGGUAAAGAAGCACCGGCUAACUACGUG
rnacentral:rRNA from 1 species